rnacentral:rRNA from 1 species
ACACGACUACAUUAGAUACCCGCGUAGUCCGAGGGUGUAAACGCUGCGGGCUUGGUGGUUGGGGGUCCUUUGAGGGCGCCCAGUGCUGGAGAGAAGUUGUUAAGCCUGCUGCGUUGGGGAGUACGUCCGCAAGGAUAGAAAACUUAAAGGAAUUGGGCGGGGGAGCACCGCAACGGGAGGAGCGUGCGGUUCAAUUGGAUUCAACGCCGGGCAACUCACCAGGAGCGACGGUUACAUGAAGGCCAGGCUGAUGACCUUGCCUGAUUUUCCG